CUGGAGCUCGCCUUCCUGCUGGCCGCCCCCAGCACCGACGCCCCUGCUUUUUCCCCAUCUCCUUCCUUGGCGCGCUCGCCCAGGUCGCGCGUGUCCCUGCUCGCCCAGGCCGCGACCUCGCCAAACCGCGCAGUCCCUGCUCUCCUUCCCCAGCCGCGCUCAGCCCAGCCCUUCCUCCUUCGCCCUUGUCGAGCUCCCUCAGCUCGCCCCCAACCACAACCGCACGCCAACCUCGCCCUAGGCCAUGGAGCAGCAACAACCAUGGAACCCUUUCGUGUCGCGCCCUCGAUGUGCUCGACGAAAGUUGGUUCGAUGAACGGGUUGGCUAAUCGCGAUGUGUGGAGGAGACAAAUUUCUAGGAUCUGAGGGUAAGAGAAGCCAAGACCUAGAGCGAUGAUCACUAGUUGUUCGGUGAAAAGGACGAACCGGUGAUCGUGGUUGGUCUUGCGAAAUCCGAGUUCUAUUUUAUGUUGGUGUUGUGCGGUGUGAUCUCCAAUUCCAUGUUGCUGAUGUCUUGCUCCAUCAUGACCUUAGGAAAGGAUGUUUUCCUCUAAAUUAUCGUAAUAAUUAUGCUGGGUUUAUGUGUUGUUUUAGCAUACAUUGUGAAAAGCAUUUCUUGCUCAGCAGGACAAGGAGGGGCUUUCAUGAAAUAACUUUUGACCACUUAUGUUCCUUUUCCAAAUAUAAAUUAGUUAGAAGUGGGUCUUGGCAAUAAUUAGCUCAUGACUAUUUGUUGUUGGCCCUUUGGCUGCAAUUUCUGAAUAGUUUGAUGUGAAGGGACCUU
rnacentral:misc_RNA from 1 species